AGAGUGGGCGCAAGGGUGCGUAACGCGUAAGUAACUUGCCCAAGGUAAGGAAUAAACGUCGAGAAAUCGGCGCUAAUACCUCAUAAUGCAGCGGAUCCGCAUGGAUAUGUUGUUAAAGGUUUACCGCCUUGGGAUAGGCUUGCGUCUGAUUAGCUAGUUGGUGUGGUAACGGCACACCAAGGCUACGAUCAGUAACUGGUCUGAGAGGAUGAUCAGUCACACUGGAACUGAGACACGGUCCAGACUCCUACGGGAGGCAGCAGUGAGGAAUUAUUGGGCAAUGCUCGAAAGAGUGACCCAGCAACGCCGCGUGGAGGAUGUAAGGUAUUCUAUAUCGUAAACUCCUGUGAGAGCAGACGAAAGACAGAUUAUUAAUCUGGAUGACUGUAUGCUCAGAGGAAGCCCCGGCUAACUACGUG
rnacentral:rRNA from 1 species